rnacentral:misc_RNA from 1 species
AAGUCGUAACAAGGUUUCCGUAGGUGAACCUGCGGAAGGAUCAUUAACACGUUAUCCACGUAUCAUCAAACGAGGACCGUUACUUUCUACCUCUGUGAGGAAUGAACAGCAACAAGAUAGAGUGUUGGAAGCGGGUCGACCUUCAUUGGUCCCCUGGCUCUAUUUGUUAUUCUUAGCUGACGGGCCUGCUUUUUGGCAGGUCUCUGAUGGCGGUACUGUUGUAUCUGAAUCGGGAGGCCACUCUUAGCGUGCAACUCUGCUUCCAUGAAGUGCGCGCUAGGAAACUUAUUAACAAUUCUAACCCUUUUUGCUAGUUGACUUUUAUAUGUUGUGCUUUGUUUCGGCAAGGUGCACACGUUUAAUUAUUUGAACGUUAAAAAUACAACUCUUAGCAAUGGAUAUCUAGGUUCUC